UACAUGUGGGGCAAGCGUUGUUCGGAAUUACUGGGCGUAAAGGGCUCGUAGGCGGCCAACUAAGUCCGACGUGAAAUCCCCAGGCUUAACCAAGGAAGUGCACCCGAAACUGGAUAGCUUGAGUACAGAAGAGGAUCGCGGAAUUCCCGGUGUAGAGGUGAAAUUCGUAGAUAUCGGGAGGAACACCAGUGGCGAAGGCGGCGAUCUGGGCUGAUACUGACGCUGAGGUGCGAAAGCGUGGGGAGCAAACAGG
rnacentral:rRNA from 1 species